rnacentral:rRNA from 1 species
UACGUAGGGUGCAAGCGUUAAUCGGAAUUACUGGGCGUAAAGCGUGCGCAGGCGGUGAUGUAAGACAGGUGUGAAAUCCCCGGGCUUAACCUGGGAACUGCAUUUGUGACUGCAUGGCUAGAGUGCGGCAGAGGGGGAUGGAAUUCCGCGUGUAGCAGUGAAAUGCGUAGAUAUGCGGAGGAACACCGAUGGCGAAGGCAAUCCCCUGG